UACGAAGGGGGCUAGCGUUGCUCGGAAUCACUGGGCGUAAAGCGCACGUAGGCGGAUUGCUAAGUCAGGGGUGAAAUCCUGGAGCUCAACUCCAGAACUGCCUUUGAUACUGGCGAUCUUGAGUCCGGGAGAGGUGAGUGGAACUGCGAGUGUAGAGGUGAAAUUCGUAGAUAUUCGCAAGAACACCAGUGGCGAAGGCGGCUCACUGGCCCGGUACUGACGCUGAGGUGCGAAAGCGGUGGGGAGCAAACAGG
rnacentral:rRNA from 1 species